rnacentral:rRNA from 1 species
AACUAGAAAUAGCUCAAAACACAACAUGAACUACUACUCUAAAAACAUUUAGUAAAUCAUUUAUAGAAUAAAAGUAUAGGUGAUAGAAAUUUUUACUCGACGCUAUAAAGACAGUACCGCAAGGGAAAUAAUGAAAGAGACCUGUAAGUAAAAAAUAGCAAAGUUUAACCCUUGUACCUUUUGCAUAAUGACUCAACUAGAAAAUAUUUGCAAAAAGAAUUUAAGUUAAUAGACCCGAAACCAGACGAGCUACCCCUUAGCAGCCUAAUAGGGCAAACUCAUCUAUGUGGCAAAAUAGUGAGAAGACUAGUGGGUAGAGGCGAAAAACCUAUCGAGCCUGGUGAUAGCUGGUUGUCCAGGACAGAAUUUCAGUUCUAAUUUAAGCUUACCAUAAAAACAACAAAUUAAAAUGUAAGCUUAAAUGAUAGUCUAAAAGGGUACAGCCUUUUAGACAUAGGAUACAACCUUUAUUAGAGAGAAAAUAAAAGAACGAACUACUCUAGUUGGCCUAAAAGCAGCCACCAAGCAAGAAAGCGUUCAAGCUCGAUAGUACAUGAAAACUAAUCCCAACUAUUUAAGAGCACUCCUAAUGUAUAACUGGACUAUUCUAUUUUCUAAAUAGAAGAAAUAAUGUUGACACGAGUAACAAGAAUAUAUUUCUCCCUGCACACGUGUAUAUCAGAACGAAUAUCCCACUGAUAAUUACCAAGAUGAUAUAAUCAAAAAAUUAAACCCCAACACAAACUGUUAAUCCAACACAGGGGUGCAGAUCAGGGAAAGAUUAAAAGAAGUAAAAGGAACUCGGCAAACAUAGAUCCCGCCUGUUUACCAAAAACAUCACCUCUAGCAUAAAAAGUAUAGAGGCAAGCCUGCCCAGUGACAUUAGUUCAACGGCCGCGGUAUCCUGACCGUGCAAAGGUAGCAUAAUCACUUGUUCUCUAAAUAAGGACUGGUAUGAAUGGCUUCACGAGGAUUUAACUGUCUCUUACUUCUAAUCGGUGAAACUGACUUUCCCGUGAAGAGGCGGGGAUGGGCUAAUAAGACGAGAAGACCCUAUGGAGCUUUAAUUAAUUAACUCACAAGUGACAAUAAUCUUCUACAGGAAAUUAAACUAACACCUACUGAGUUAAUAAUUUGGGUUGGGGUGACCUCGGAAUAAAAAACAACUUCCAAGAGAUUUUAAUUAAGACAAACAAGUCAAAAUUAUUACAUAUCCACAUUGAUCCAUCAAAGAUGACCAACGGAACAAGUUACCCUAGGGAUAACAGCGCAAUCCUAUUUAAGAGUCCAUAUCGACAAUUAGGGUUUACGACCUCGAUGUUGGAUCAGGACAUCCCAAUGGUGUAGCAGCUAUUAAUGUGUUCGUUUGUUCAACGAUUAAAGUCCUACGUGAUCUGAGUUCAGACCGGAGUAAUCCAGGUCGGUUUCUAUCUAUUCUAGUGUCUUUCCCAGUACGAAAGGACAAGAAAGACGAGGUCCCCUUGAACCAAGCACCUCACAAGACAGAUGAAUUAAUCUUAAACUAAAAAUACAAACAAUUGCCCAAGAAAAGGGCCUA